AAGGAGAUAGUGGGGGAAGACGGUGGAGUAAGCAUAUCAAAGGCUAGACCUAGCAUUUUUUAUGUUAUUUAAUGAGUUUUUUUUAUAGAGAUUUAAGAGAUUAGCUUAUUAUUUUUGUAAUUUUUAAAGGGACUAAAAGAAUAUUUUUUUUCUUUUUUUGCAAGUCCAGUCAUCCGUUAAGGUUUAACAAUUGGGUGACCAUUUUGGUUAAUUUUUCUAACGAUGGUGAC
rnacentral:lncRNA from 1 species